UGCGUAGGCGGUCGGAUAAGUUUGAUGUGAAAUCUCCGGGCUUAACCCGGAAACUGCAUUGAAUACUAUUCGGCUUGAGGUCUGGAGGGGGGACUGGAAUUCUCGGUGUAGCAGUGAAAUGCGUAGAUAUCGAGAGGAACACCAGUGGCGAAGGCGAGUCCCUAGACAGGUCCUGACGCUGAGGCACGAAAGUGGAGGGCGAACA
rnacentral:rRNA from 1 species